GGGAACCCCCCCCGCCGGGACCUGCCGCUCCGCUGCGGGCCGUUCUGCGGUGCUGUCAUCUAGGAUUUCUGUAAACUUUAGUUUUCAGGAAGGAUGGCGUGAUGGCACAGCAGAAUGCAAGAACGCCUUACAACUUACACGCGGAACUUUAUAGCCAUCAGAUGCCUGGUGUAUUAAGUAUGUUUUACUGCUCAUUUUUAGGCAGUUUAUAAAGGAGUAGUGCUCAGAAGAUUUCAAAAUCUUGCCUAACAUUCUGCUGUUGCUUCUUAAAUCAGAUUCUGAAGUGUUCGUGUUCCAAAUCUCAAUUACUUUUGAAUCUUGCAAAGUGAACCUGGCACUGGAUGCUAAUCCCUUCAACAUAAAAGCAUUGUAUGAUGUAAUAAAACUGUAUUUCAUACAGUCUUACA
rnacentral:lncRNA from 1 species